GAUGGUAGGAUAGAGGCCUACCAUGGUGGUGACGGGUAACGGGGUGUUAGGGCACGACGCCGGAGAGGGAGCCUGAGAAACGGCUACCACAUCCAAGGAUGGCAGCAGGCGCGCAAAUUACCCAAUCCCGACACGGGGAGGUAGUGACAAUAAAUAACAAUACGGGGUUCUUUAGGAUUUCGUAAUUGGAAUGAGUACAAUUUAAAUCUCUUAACGAGGAACAAUUGGAGGGCAAGUCUGGUGCCAGCAGCCGCGGUAAUUCCAGCUCCAAUAGCGUAUAUUUAAGUUGUUGCAGUUAAAAAGCUCGUAGUUGGACCUUGGGUCGUCACGGUCGGUCCGCCUACUUGGUGUGCACUGGCCCUCACGUCCCUUCUGCCGGCGGCGCGUUCCUGGCCUUAAUUGGCUGGGUCGCGGUUCCGGCGCCGUUACUUUGAAAAAAUUAGAGUGCUCAAAGCAAGCCUACGCUCUGAAUACAUUAGCAUGGAAUAACGCGAUAGGAGUCUGGUCCUGUUCCGUUGGCCUUCGGGACCGGAGUAAUGAUUAAUAGGGACUGUCGGGGGCAUUCGUAUUUCAUUGUCAGAGGUGAAAUUCUUGGAUUUAUGGAAGACGAACCACUGCGAAAGCAUUUGCCAAGGAUGUUUUCAUUAAUCAAGAACGAAAGUUGGGGGCUCGAAGACGAUCAGAUACCGUCCUAGUCUCAACCAUAAACGAUGCCGACCAGGGAUCGGCGGAUGUUGCUCUAAGGACUCCGCCAGCACCUUCUGGGAAACCAAA
rnacentral:rRNA from 1 species